rnacentral:tRNA from 1 species
GCGGGCAUAGUUUAGUGGUAAAAUUGUAGGCUUCCAACCUGGUGAUGGGGGUUCGAUUCCCCCUGCCCGCU